CCAAAGGCUGAAUAGACAAACUUCCUGUUGACAUUGUCUCGGAGAAUACCGUUCUGUACCAUUUUCCAGCGUUCAUCACUGUGCUUCUCAAUACUCAGUGGCUUCUUCUUUUCCUCUUUAUCAACCAACACCAUACUUCUUUUCAAAUACACAGUAAACUAAAUUCCGCUCUUAACAUUAAACUUCAAAGUUCAAACAGAAACUAUUUCCUAAACUAAACCCCAACGUUGUUUCAUUCAUGCCAUGCCAUGCCAAACUCUUCAACAUUAUUUCCCACAAACUUUCUCAAACACUCACUUCAACAAUAUCAUCAUAAACCCCUCUCUCUCCUUCUCUCUCAUUACUCUUCUUCCAAUAAUUUCCCACAUACCCAUCAACCCUCUUCACCACCACUUCCACCCCAAAUCUUCAAAUCACGUUCCCACGAAUGGGGUUCUUACAAAUUAGGAGAUUUAUCUUUCUAUUCCCUCAUCGAAAAUUUCUCUGCUUCCUCUGAUUUUGUCUCCUUAGAACACCUCCUUCAUCAAAUGAAGCGUGAAAAUCGAGUCUUUAUUGAAAAAAAUUUCAUUUUAAUGUUCAAGGCUUAUGGGAAAGCCCAUUUACCUCAUAAAGCUUUGGACUUGUUUCAUAAAAUGGAGGUUGAGUUUCAUUGUAAGCAAACUGUGAAAUCUUUUAAUUCUGUUCUCAAUGUUGUUAUUCAAGAGGGUCUUUUUAAUCUUGCUUUGGAGUUUUAUUCUCAUGUUAUUCAAUCCAAGGGUUUUAAUAUUCAUCCUAAUGAACUCACUUUUAAUUUGGUGAUUAAGGCUUUGUGUAGACUUGGUUUAGUUGAUCAGGCUGUGGAGGUUUUUAGAGGGAUUAGUGUUAGGAAUUGUGUUCCUGAUACUUAUACUUACUCUACAUUGAUGCAUGGUUUGUGUAAUGUUGGUAGAAUUGACGAGGCUGUUUCGUUGUUGGAUGAGAUGCAGAUAGAAGGUACAUUCCCUAACCCUGUUGCAUUUAAUGUUUUGAUAAGUGCAUUGUGUAAGAAAGGCGAUUUGGUUCGUGCGUCCAAGCUUGUUGAUAAUAUGUUUCUUAAGGGUUGUAUUCCUAAUGAAGUAACAUAUAAUUCACUUGUUCAUGGUUUGUGUCUUAAGGGUAAGUUGGAUAAGGCGGUGAGUCUAUUGAAUCGAAUGGUUUUGAAUAAAUGUAGGCCUAAUGAUGUUACUUUUGGAACACUCAUUGAUGGCUUUGUUAAGCAUGGUAGAGCUUUGGAUGGUGUUCGCGUGUUGGCCUCCUUGGAAGAGAGAGGUCAUCGCGGGAACGAGUUUAUUUACUCGUCUCUUAUUAGUGGCUUGUUCAAGGAGGGAAAAUGCGAGCAUGGAAGGCGAUUGUGGAACGAGAUGGUUGAAAAAGGAUGCGAACCAAAUACUAUAGUGUAUAGUGCUCUUAUAGACGGUCUUUGUCGGGAAGGGAAGCCGGAUGAAGCAUCAGAGUACCUAUUAGAGAUGGAGAAUAAAGGCCACAUUCCCAAUUGUUUCACUUAUAGCUCCUUGAUGUGGGGUUAUUUUGAAGCAGAUGAUUGUCAUAAAGCUAUUCUUGUUUGGAAAAAGAUGACAGAUAAUAAUUGUAAUCAUCAUGAGGUUUGUUACAGCAUACUUAUUAAUGGAUUGUGCAAGAAUGGGAAGUUUAAGGAGGCAUUAAUGGUGUGGAAGCAAAUGUUGAGUAGAGGAAUCAAACUAGAUGUUGUGGCUUAUAGUUCAAUGAUUCAUGGAUUUUGUAACGCUGAGUUAGAAGAACAAGGGAUGAAACUUUUCCAUCAGAUGCUUUUUCAGGAGCCGAACAUACAACCGGAUGUGGUUACAUACAACAUACUCCUUAAUGCAUUUUGCACGAAGAAUAGCAUCUCCCGCGCUAUCGAUGUUCUAAAUCUUAUGUUGGAUCAAGGUUGCGAUCCUGAUUUUAUUACUUGCGAUAUUUUCUUAAAAUCAUUGAGAGACAAUAUGAAUCCGCCUCAAGAUGGAAGGGAGUUUCUAGAUGAGCUUGUAGUCCGAUUAAUUAAGCGACAAAGAACAGUUGGAGCUUCCAAUGUUAUAGAAGUGAUGCUUCCUAAAUUUUUGCUGCCUAAAGCUUCUACUUGGGCCUUAGUUGUUCAACAUCUCUGCAAACCUAUGAAAGUUCGAAAAACCAUCAAUGAAUGUUGGAGCAGGCUGUGUUGCUGACAUCUUGCUUUUUUAUUAAUCAAUUUUGAAGAAGUUCAAUACUUUGCCGUGAACAACAUAGCCAACUAAGGCCCCUCCAAUUUGUGCUACCAUGUCGAUACUGCCUAAAUUACGGUGUGUCACAGUUGAUGUUACCGGCACCCUAAUGGCUUACAAAGGGGAGCUUGGUGACUAUUACUGCAUGGCAGCCAAAGCUGCUGGCCGUCCAUGCCCGGACUACAAACGUAUGCAUGAGGGCUUUAAGCUUGCAUAUAAGGACAUGGCAAAGAAUUAUCCAUGUUUUGGGUUUGCAGCCAAAAUGCCAAACAUUGUAUGGUGGAAAACUUGUGUGCGAGAUUCAUAUGUCAGGGUAAGAUAUUUUUCGAAGUCAUUACAGUUGGAGUUUACAUGUCAAUAUGCCUAUGUUGCUUCCAUGGUUUGAAAUUUGGUUGCCAUUGUGGUUACACUGCAAACCUUUAUAUUGUGGUAAAAUGUGGACAAAUGCUGCGACAAUUGCGGGUGCCAUGAUGUUGGGGAGAUCUCUAAAACUGUUAUGUUGCAGCUUGUGUGCGAGAUUCAUAUGUCAGGGCUGGAUAUGAAUAUGAUGAGGAGACAUUU